GUACACUCCUGCGGGAGGCAGCAGUGGGGAAUAUUGCACAAUGGGCGCAAGCCUGAUGCAGCCAUGCCGCGUGUAUGAAGAAGGCCUUCGGGUUGUAAAGUACUUUCAGCGGGGAGGAAGGUGUUGAGGUUAAUAACCUCAGCAAUUGACGUUACCCGCAGAAGAAGCACCGGCUAACUCCGUGCCAGCAGCCGCGGUAAUACGGAGGGUGCAAGCGUUAAUCGGAAUUACUGGGCGUAAAGCGCACGCAGGCGGUCUGUCAAGUCGGAUGUGAAAUCCCCGGGCUCAACCUGGGAACUGCAUUCGAAACUGGCAGGCUAGAGUCUUGUAGAGGGGGGUAGAAUUCCAGGUGUAGCGGUGAAAUGCGUAGAGAUCUGGAGGAAUACCGGUGGCGAAGGCGGCCCCCUGGACAAAGACUGACGCUCAGGUGCGAAAGCGUGGGGAGCAAACAGGAUUAGAAACCCCAGUAGUCCCAUG
rnacentral:rRNA from 1 species